CGAAAGCCUGACGGAGCAAUACCGCGUGAGGGAGGAAGGCCCUUGGGUUGUAAACCUCUUUUCUCAAGGAAGAAAAAAAUGACGGUACUUGAGGAAUAAGCAUCGGCUAACUCCGUGCCAGCAGCCGCGGUAAUACGGAGGAUGCAAGCGUUAUCCGGAAUUAUUGGGCGUAAAGAGUCCGUAGGCGGCCCGGCAAGUCUGCUGUCAAAGAAUGGAGCUUAACUCCAUAAGGGCAGUGGAAACUGCAGAGCUAGAGUCUAGGAGGGGUAGAGGGAAUUCCCAGUGUAGCGGUGAAAUGCGUAGAGAUUGGGAAGAACACCGGUGGCGAAAGCGCUCUACUGGACUAGAACUGACGCUGAGGGACGAAAGCUAGGGUAGCG
rnacentral:rRNA from 1 species